CAAGUCUAUGCUCUCCCAUCAUGGUAUCAUGUGUCAGCAUUUGGUAGUGCUUCUGUAGCAUGGAAAGGUUCCCCACCCACUGCUUUCCAUGCGGGUCGGCGGAAGCCUAAAGGCCAGGAUAUAAAGGUGGCGACUUUUUCACUCAAAAAAAAAAGAAAGAGAGAAAAAAAAGGUGGUGACUUUUGUCCACAUUCUUUAAUUAGUGUGCGUAGCUAAUGAUAUAUGCUAAUGACUUUUCUUUGCCACCGUAUCUUUUGAAAUGAUAAGAAUUUGAUCUUCAUGUUCGGUUUCACGCUCACAGCUUCAUCUUCUACAGGGUUAUUGCUGUCCUGGCUCAUUCUUCCUGAUGAUCGAAUGAAUUGGUGCAAGAUCCAUGAGAGCAUCAAGUGGCUUCCUUCGAAGGGAGCCAAAUGGCCAUUUUGAUUGGCUUCGGCAAGAUUCUUCAUCAACUUGUGAUUUGUCUUGUACGAGGAGUUUCUCAGCUCCUCUAUAUUCCAUCAAAAAAACAAAAAAAAAAAUUACAUUCUCUUAAAGGUAGAACUCUUUCUGGCUAGACGCCAUCACCUAGAACUCUUAAGUCCUCCUUCCCUCAUAUAAUUUGGAUUCGAGCUCAGGUGUCUAUUAAUUGGUGGUGCAACUACUGUGAGACUUUUACCAGCUAGCAAGCUGGCCGGUACAAAUAAUGGCACAACUAGUAAAAGGAUAACAACUAAAAACAGUGGGGAAACAAUACUAGGGUCCUAAGAUACUUCCAUGCUUUUCCACACACCAUAUUGCUUAAGAUUCCAGCCAGAUGAUAUGCUUACUAAUCCACGUCAGUGCUGCAUCAUUUAUCAUGCAUGGGGCGAGCACAUUGGUACAAAAUGGAAACCUUCAAAGCCCACAAGCAUACGCACCAAGCCAUUUGAGUAAAUGAUCGAAAUGCAAUGAAUGACCUUAUCCUUGGAUGAAGAUAUUCCCCCUCCCAAGGUAAGAGCUAGGGGGGAUGGAUGUGAGAGACGUGACUCGGAGAGAGCGAUGGUGUGUAUAUAUAUUGGGGGACCAGUCCCACUCGCAAAAGGGUUUUGUUGCUCUUGUGGCUGAUGGCAUUCCCACCACCACACAAGGAGCAAGAGAGAGAGAGAGAGAGAGAGAGAUUCAGGUUUGAGUGGCUCUGGGAGCAUUCAGCGUUGUUCCACUAUGCUGGACACAUGCAUGAAAGAGGUCUCAGAACCUUUUCUUUGUAAAGGUGGAGGACCCUUGUUUGCUAUCUGCCAAACUUUCUUCUCAAGCCUUUCUCCUGGGGUAUUUUUUGCCGUGGGAGCCCUUUCCUACAUGCAGGGGCUGCCCUAUUCUGUCGCUCGUGGGGUUUGGUCGAGUUCAUUAGACCUGCAUCAAGGCAAGCAAACACCAGGAAGCCCGUAGAAGUAAAUUUCUUUAAAAGCUUUUGGGAUUUUAGAGGGUGUUUAAGAAGUUAUAGCUAGGGAAAGUGAUUGCAUCAUUGAUGUACCUGGCCAGUUGCAAGCUGCCUUCUUUCUGUGGAUGUUGGGGUGGGGAGAGAUUACCUCCACUACAUGGCAGACAGCUUCCAUGACUUUUGCGAUGUUGGAAGACAGCUCCCAUUCACCACCAAUAUCAGAGGGGGACAAUCUAUUGGACGAGAGGACGCUGAGCGGAGUCCUGCGCAUUCCGGUUCAUAGAUCGCCGUGAGGACGGUGAUUAGUUUGUCUGAGUUUUCAACAAAGUAGUUGCAGGAUGCUUAGAUUUGGAUGGGAUGGGCGCAGAG